AACGAACGCUGGCGGCAUGCCUAACACAUGCAAGUCGAACGAGACCUUCGGGUCUAGUGGCGCACGGGUGCGUAACGCGUGGGAACCUGCCCUUAGGUUCGGAAUAACUCCCCGAAAGGGGUGCUAAUACCGGAUAAUGUCUUCGGACCAAAGAUUUAUCGCCUUUGGAUGGGCCCGCGUUGGAUUAGCUAGUUGGUAGGGUAAAAGCCGACCAAGGCGACGAUCCAUAGCUGGUCUGAGAGGAUGAUCAGCCACACUGGGACUGAGACACGGCCCAGACUCCUACGGGAGGCAGCAGUGGGGAAUAUUGGACAAUGGGCGAAAGCCUGAUCCAGCAAUGCCGCGUGAGUGAUGAAGGCCUUAGGGUUGUAAAGCUCUUUUACCCGGGAUGAUAAUGACGGUACCGGGAGAAUAAGCUCCGGCUAACUCCGUG
rnacentral:rRNA from 1 species